CCUACGGGAGGCAGCAGUGAGGAAUAUUGGUCAAUGGGCGCGAGCCUGAACCAGCCAAGCAGCGUGAAUGAUGACUGCCCUACGGGUUGUAAACUUCUUUUAUAAAGGAAUAAAGUGAGGCACGUGUGCCCUUUUGUAUUUACUUUAUGAAUAAGGAACGGCUAACUCCGCUCCAGCAGCCCCGGUAAUACGGAGGAUCCGAGCGUUAUCCGGAUUUAUUGGGUUUAAAGGGAGCGUAGAUGGGUUGUUAAGUCAGUUGUGAAAGUUUGCGGCUCAACCGUAAAAUUGCAAUUGAUACUGGCAGUCUUGAGUACAGUUGAGGUAGGCGGAAUUCGUGGUGUAGCGGUGAAAUGCGUAGAGAUCACGAAGAACUCCGAUUGCGAAGGCAGCUUACUAAACUGCCACUGACAUUGAUGCGCGAAAGUGUGGGUAUCAAACAGGAUUAGAUACCCCAGUAGUC
rnacentral:rRNA from 1 species